rnacentral:ncRNA from 2 species
CCGUAAAAUCCCGAGGUUGGUGCUCGCGGUGUGGUUCACAUGCCGCAGUUCAACGGGAAGCAGGGAGGCGUGCCACGCAUGGCACGCCGAGCCUGCGCUGCCCCCGCAACGGUCAGCGGACGAAUCACCCGAUUCUCUCUCCAUCACAAGCCACUGUGCGCCUUGAACAAGCGUGUGGGAAGGCGUUGGAGGGCGUUCCGCCAGCCCGGAUACCGGCCAACACGGUGGCUGCGCC